GACGAACGCUGGCGGCGUGCUUAACACAUGCAAGUCGUACGGUAAGGCCCUUUCGGGGGUACACGAGUGGCGAACGGGUGAGUAACACGUGAGUAACCUGCCCACAACUUUGGGAUAACGCUAGGAAACUGGUGCUAAUACUGGAUAUGUGCUCCUGCUGCAUGGUGGGGGUUGGAAAGCUCCGGCGGUUGUGGAUGGACUCGCGGCCUAUCAGCUUGUUGGUGGGGUAGUGGCCUACCAAGGCGGCGACGGGUAGCCGGCCUGAGAGGGUGACCGGCCACAUUGGGACUGAGAUACGGCCCAGACGCCGACGGGAGGCAGCAGUGGGGAAUAUUGCACAAGGGGCGCAAGCCGGAUGCAGCAACGCCGCGGGCGGGAUAACGGCCUUCGGGUUGUAAACCGCUUUCAGCAGGGACGAAGCUUUUUGUGACGGUACCUGCAGAAGAAGCACCGGCUAACUACGUG
rnacentral:rRNA from 1 species